GGUGUUUGCUGUGAGGAUACUCAGUGGUCUUGAUGAGAGUAGAGUGCCAAAGAAAGUUUAGGAACCUGUGUCCGUCAACCCGCUCCAGCCAACAGUACAGUUCCAACUGUCAUAGUACUCCCAUGGAAAUCUGGAUAUAAGUGCUUAAAGGUAUUAAUUCCUAAUAAAUAUUUUGCACCUCAACUCUGUCUCAAUAUCUGCUUCUGGAAAAGCCUACCAGCAACACUCUUCUUCAGAUCUUUGGAAGCCUGAGAGACAAGCCAUAUGAAGAGAAGGGCUCUCCCUUUACCCCUGGGGUCACAGUUACCGGAAAGCCAAGCCUCUAGAAUACAUUAUACUUAAUCUUUGCCUUGGAACUCUCUGAAAAUAAACUCUCAUUUGACACAGAGAAGUGACAGACUUGCAUCUACUUUCUCUAUGAAGAUUCCUGCAGGGCCUGAAGCCUUACUUGUUCUGCCAAGGACCUGCUGGACUGGUGACUUUAGCUGCUGCUCAACCUAGGAGAGGAGAAUGCACUGAAAUUAAAAUUGGAGAGGAGAAAGGAUGCUUUCAGACUGAAAUAGUCCCAGCCUCCCCUCCUAAAUGUUUAGGCUACUUAAAAUUAUUUCUCUAGUUUCAUGAGCAGAUUUUUUUUAAGACACUGAACUUUGUUUUGAAGUGUAAAUGCAUACAAAAAAGUAUACACAGUACACAGUCACAUUGUUCAGUUCCAUAAAUUUCAUAGGAUGAACACACUCAACUAAUUGUCAUUCAGAUCAAGAAAAGAAUAUUACCAACAUCCCAAAAGCCCCAUUUGUACAUGCAUUCAGUUACCAUUCUUUAUCAUGUAAACAAUAUC